CAGUAGCCGCGGUAAUACGGAGGGUGCAAGCGUUAAUCGGAAUUACUGGGCGUAAAGCGCACGCAGGCGGUCUGACAAGUCAGAUGUGAAAUCCCCGGGCUUAACCUGGGAACUGCAUUUGUGACUGUAUAGCUAGAGUACGGCAGAGGGGGAUGGAAUUCCGCGUGUAGCAGUGAAAUGCGUAGAUAUGCGGAGGAACACCGAUGGCGAAGGCAAUCCCCUGGGCCUGUACUGACGCUCAUGCACGAAAGCGUGGGGAGCAAACAGGAUUAGAUACCCGCGUAGUCCCUGUCUCUUAUAC
rnacentral:rRNA from 1 species